rnacentral:rRNA from 1 species
UACGGAGGGUGCAAGCGUUGUUCGGAAUUAUUGGGCGUAAAGGGCAGGUAGGUGGUCUCAUUUGUCUGGGGUGAAAUCCUUGAGCUUAACUCAAGAAGUGCCUCAGAAACGGUGAGACUAGAGUUCUGGAGAGGGUCGUGGAAUUCCCGGUGUAGCGGUGAAAUGCGUAGAGAUCGGGAGGAACACCAGAGGCGAAGGCGAGUCUCUGGGCUGAUACCGACGCUGAGGCGCGAAAGCCAGGGGAGCAAACGGG